UUAACUUAAAUUUGUAUUGAGUUGGGAGGUUUGCCUACGUUUACCGCUAGGGGCGCUGUUCCAACUACGCACAAAUUUGACUUU
rnacentral:pre_miRNA from 1 species